CGGUGUUCGCGUGCCAGCGCUUCGACAAGCCCGUAUAAGCAGCAUCACCAGGCUUGCAGAAGACUAUGCAUUCCGUGCAGCCGCCACCACAUGUGCUCACUCGCGAGAAGGACGAACCACCCGAGCCCGUGAUUCCAGACGGCGCCGUCUACCUCAUCGGGGGCUUUGUCCUAUGCCUGGUCGUCGGAAGCCUGCUCUUCAUGGCUUACGUCAUGAUCUCGGAGAGCGCGGCAGUUGGGGGAGCACGGAAGUGACAAGUACACACUUCCCAUCUUCGCACGCAUUCAAAGAAAGCAAGGCCAAGCGAGCAAGUUAACUUUCUGAGUAGUGCUUCAUGGUUGCAUCUUUCUCCCUACUCCAUCAUGCAUCAACCUUCAUGAUUUAGUUGACUACACGUUGCUGUGCCCUGUAGCUGCUUGUUGUGCUGCUCUUUUCAUGGCUGUGAACAGCAUUUCCUGUUGCCCCAAUGGACUUGCAUGUCACUUAGUGCAUAUUGUGACUGGACAACGCAUCUCGAGACAUUCAUGCUAGAGCAAGAACUUGGCAUUUUCACUUGUUCUUUGCUGACAAGGACAAUGUUUAUUUGGGCAUUCAGGUACUUUGUACAAAAAUAAAGAUACGAGAUAUAAAGGGUGUGAGACAGCUUUGGCUCUACUGUUUAUUCAAAAAAACGUGUUUGAAAGCGCAGCGUAGCUGGUUGCUUGCAGAACACCAUAAAUUACUUUCUUUACAAAUAUGUACACAUUAUAAACUAUAUCUGAAACUCACAACAUACACAAGCAAGGGAAAUUAGCGUAUAUAAAUUAGAAGCUUGCUUGGGAGACACAGGGAAGCAAGAAAAAUGUGUAGGGAUGGGGGAGAGCUCUGUAAGGAUGUACUAAAAGAAGCAAGACAAAAAGAAAAAGUUCAGAGAAUCCUAAAAAAGGGACAUUUUGUUUAACUUUGAUGGUCCUAAGCCAGACGCGGGUGACUAGAGCUGGACAAUGCACCACUCACAAAACUGCUGCUGUCUUUUCCUAGAGUGCAUGGACAUUCAUCCUCCAUCCCAUUCUUGCACGUGCGCCACAUACACACAAAACAAAUUGCUUGCGCGCAUGAUGAUGCCCAGCCAAAAAUCUUCGGAGUCUUGAGCGGUCACUGUAAGUGCUGCUUUGUUCGAUUCAACUCUCCAGGGCAUACUUUGCAGAAAAAUUGAAACAACUAAAUAUAACUGCUAUCUCAACAAUGCCUCAUCUGUGCCGGCGUAGCAUACCCGCUUAGUUUGAUGCAGGCAAUACUUGUAUAAACAUUGUCGCACUGGGCCCCUCAAUGUCUCACCAAAGGUGCAACAGAACACUUGUGUGCCUCUCUAUGUUUCUCUUCCUCUCCACGAAACUGUGGCAAAUGGUGGCAGCAGUCGCUGCCAACAUAGAAUACUGGGCUGACAGUUCUCGGGAGAGGAAAUGUAGCAGCCUAGGCACUCUUGAGGAAAUGCAUUGCCCCAUUUAAAACAAGGGCAAUGCAGUAAAAAGGCUGGCUUUGCCAUUUAAAACAAGUAGCAAGGUGCCCAGCUUCAUGCUGCGACUGUGUGAAAGCGCUGCUAAUUGCAGCCGACUAUUACUUGAGCGCUGUUCCUACACUGAUUGUCGCACGACAAGUCCCAGUGACAGCAGCGGGCGUUGUACCACAGUUGCUACCCAUGACUCGUUAAAAUAAAGGUCGUUGCAGGUCCACCAAUGCUAGAUGGUCGCACUUGUCGUCAGAAUGUCGUGCACUGU
rnacentral:lncRNA from 1 species